CCUACGGGAGGCUGCAGUGAGGAAUAUUGGUCAAUGGACGCAAGUCUGAACCAGCCAAGCAGCGUGAAGGAUGAAGGCCCUAGGGUUUGUAAACUUCUUUUAUCUGGGAAUAAAACAGGGUGUGCAUACCCUCUCGUCUGUACCUUACGACGUAGCAUCGGCUAACUCCGUGCCAGCAGCCGCGGUAAUACGGAGGAUCCGAGCGUUAUCCGGAUUUGUUGGGUUUAAAGGGAGCGUAGGUGGAUUGUUAAGUCAGUUGUUAAAGUUUGCGGCUCAACCGUGAGAUUGCAGUUGAAAUUGGCGGUCUUGAGUACAGUAGAGGUGGGCGGAAGUCGUGGUGGAGCGGGGAAAUGCUUAGAUAUCGCGAAGAACUCCGAUUGCGAAGGCAGCUGACUGGACUGCAACUGACACUGAUGCUCGAAAGUGUGGGUAUCAAACAGGAUUAGAUACCCCGGUAGUC
rnacentral:rRNA from 1 species